rnacentral:lncRNA from 10 species
CUUUAGCUUUCUUGCAAGAAAAGUGUGAUGGUGUAUUGUGUUAGAGGAUAUGUAAAUGGAACUUGAAAACUCACCUGUGAAUUUAACUAUGAACACUACUUGAACUAUCUGCAAUGGCUUGAAAAGAAAAUCAUGACAACUGAAACUGAGAAUGGAAAAGGAAAAGUGAAAAUACAAACAAGGUUAUCUUCCAUGACUCAGGAAGCUCACCUAAAGAACAACUAAAAGUCUUGCAAAAAUGGCAAACUACUGCUUUGUCCAUGAACACCUUGUCAACUUCAAAGAUUCACUUCUGUUGGAAAUAAACAGCAUGAGCAGAAGGCUGCCAAGUUACAGAAAAUUUGAAGAUUCUUGAAGAUUCUUUGAUGACAACAAGUACUUUUUCAUUAAUUUGAAAGGAUAUUUUAUGAAUAGCCAACAGUUCUAAGAAAAAAAAUGAAGUCAAAGAUACUCACUGAACAGUUCUAAGAAAAAAAAUGAAGUCAAAGAAAAAAAAAGCUCAUUUUUUCCAUGUGAAUUUCUGAGGCUUGGCAGGGUGGCUUCUUGAUGUUGAAGUGCUGAAAAUGCUGAUUUUUAAUGGUUUUCAAUUGAAGAUGUGGUGAUGACAACAUCCCAAACAUAACUUUGUUCUUCCAAGAGGCACUAUUUUUAGGUGCUGGAGAUAUAGCACUGCACAAAACUGAAAUAUUUCCACCCUCAUGGGAUUUAUAUUCUACUGUGGUAGUCUUACAACAUGGGAGUUAGUUUGACAAUGCAGAAUUCUAAAAAUGGUACCCAAGAUUCCUAUCUCCUGGCUAUUCAAUCAGACACGAAUCUAUGUACUGCUGUGAAGGGACUUUGCAGAUGUAGUUAAGCUUAAGAACUUCAAAAUAGAGGGAGGGGCCUGAAUUACCCAGGUGGGCCCAAUCUAACCACUUGAGCCCUGAGAAUCAGAGAAAUUUCUUCAGCUGGAGUCAAAGAGAUGCAGCAGAAGAGGAAAGCAGGAGAGAUGAGGCAAAAGGGGAAGUCAAAGAGAUUCAAAGCCUGAGAAAGGCUAGACUUUCCCUUGAUGGCUUUGAAGGCGGCCAUGAGCCAAGGAAUAUAGGCAGCCUUUAGAAGUUGAGAAAGACUUUGACUGACAAGCAAAAAGGAGAUGGAGGCCUGAGUCUUAUAAUCACAUGGAACUGAAUUUGGCCAACAACUGAAAUGAGUUUGGAUGUGGAUUCUUCCUAGAGACUCUUGAUAAAAGCCCUGCAGCCUGACACUUUGCUUUCAGCCUUCUGAGAAUUGGAGCAAAAGAAGCAACAAAGACCGCUGGACUUCUGACCUACAGAACUAAAAGAGGAAAAUAUUUGUGAGAAAUGAAAGAAGUAUUAUUGGAUUCACAGACCCUUCACAAUACCCAGG